GACAACGCUGGCGGCGUGCCUAACACAUGCAAGUCGAACGGAGAUGAUGGGAUAGCUUGCUAUUUAAUCAUCUUAGUGGCGGACGGGUGAGUAACACGUGGGCAACCUGCCCCAAAGAGGGGGAUAACACCGAGAAAUCGGUGCUAAUACCGCAUAACAUUAGAGUUUCGCAUGGAGCUUUAAUCAAAGGAGAAAUCCGCUUUGGGAUGGGCCCGCGUCUGAUUAGCUAGUUGGUGAGGUAACGGCUCACCAAGGCGACGAUCAGUAGCCGAUCUGAGAGGAUGACCGGCCACACUGGAACUGAGACACGGUCCAGACUCCUACGGGAGGCAGCAGUGGGGAAUAUUGCACAAUGGGGGAAACCCUGAUGCAGCAACGCCGCGUGGAGGAAGAAGGUCUUCGGAUUGUAAACUCCUGUCUUCUGGGACGAAUAAUGACGGUACCAGAGGAGGAAGCCACGGCUAACUACGUG
rnacentral:rRNA from 1 species